AUUGAACGCUGGCGGCAUGCCUUACACAUGCAAGUCGAACGGCAGCACGGGAGCUUGCUCCUGGUGGCGAGUGGCGAACGGGUGAGUAAUACAUCGGAACGUACCCUGAAGUGGGGGAUAACGUAGCGAAAGUUACGCUAAUACCGCAUAUUCUGUGAGCAGGAAAGAGGGGGAUCGCAAGACCUCUUGCUUUAGGAGCGGCCGAUGUCGGAUUAGCUAGUUGGUGAGGUAAAGGCUCACCAAGGCGACGAUCCGUAGCGGGUCUGAGAGGAUGAUCCGCCACACUGGGACUGAGACACGGCCCAGACUCCUACGGGAGGCAGCAGUGGGGAAUUUUGGACAAUGGGCGCAAGCCUGAUCCAGCCAUGCCGCGUGAGUGAAGAAGGCCUGGUGUAAGCUCUUCGUGGAGAAU
rnacentral:rRNA from 1 species